UUGUUCCGCCAGGAGCAUCGCUGAUUAGCUACGUUCGGGAUUGAUAACCGCUGAAAGCAUCUAAGCGGGAAGCUUGCUCCGAGAUGAGAUUUCCUGACCCCCUUCGAGGGGUGUGAGGUGCCCAGUAGACGACUGGGUUGAUAGGCCAGGUGUGGAAGCGUUGCAAGGCGUGGAGCUGACUGGUACUAAUACACCGAAGACUUAUACAC
rnacentral:rRNA from 1 species